GGACGAACGCUGGCGGCGUGCUUAACACAUGCAAGUCGAACGGAAAGGCCCUGCUUGCAGGGUACUCGAGUGGCGAACGGGUGAGUAACACGUGGGUGAUCUGCCCUGCACUUCGGGAUAAGCCUGGGAAACUGGGUCUAAUACCGGAUAGGAGCCAUUUUUAGUGUGAUGGUUGGAAAGUUUUUUCGGUGUAGGAUGAGCUCGCGGCCUAUCAGCUUGUUGGUGGGGUAAUGGCCUACCAAGGCGGCGACGGGUAGCCGGCCUGAGAGGGUGGACGGCCACAUUGGGACUGAUAUACGGCCCAGACUCCUACGGGAGGCAGCAGUGGGGAAUAUUGCACAAUGGGCGCAAGCCUGAUGCAGCGACGCCGCGUGGGGGAUGACGGCCUUCGGGUUGUAAACUCCUUUCGCUAGGGACGAAGCUUUUUGUGACGGUACCUAGAUAAGAAGCACCGGCUAACUACGU
rnacentral:rRNA from 1 species